AUUGAACGCUGGCGGCAGGCUUAACACAUGCCAGUAGAGCGAGCGGCGGACGGGUGAGUAAUGUCUGGGAAACUGCCUGAUGGAGGGGGAUAACUACUGGAAACGGUAGCUAAUACCGCAUACCAUCAGAUGUGCCCAGAUGGGAUUCGGUAGUGGGUGGGGUAAUGGCGCACCUAGGCGACGAUCCCUAGCUGGUCUGAGAGGAUGACCAGCAACACUGGAAAUGAGACACGGUCCAGACUCCUGUGUGAGGUAGUGGUGGUGAAUAUUGCACAAUGGGCGCAAGCCUGAUGAAGCCAUGCCGGGUGUGUGAAGAAGGCCGUCGGGUUGUAAAGCACGUUCAGCGAGGAGGCGUUACUCGCAGAAGAAGCACCGGCUAACUCCGUGCCAGCCGCCGCGGUAAUUC
rnacentral:rRNA from 1 species